rnacentral:rRNA from 1 species
UGCUGACGAGCGGCGGACGGGUGAGUAACGCGUAGGAAUUUGCCUGAUAGAGGGGGAUAGCCCGGGGAAACUCGGAUUAAUACCGCAUACGCUCUACGGAGGAAAGCAGGGGAUCUUCGGACCUUGCGCUAUCAGAUAAGCCUGCGUGGGAUUAGCUAGUUGGUGAGGUAACGGCUCACCAAGCCAUCGAUAGGUAGGGGGCGUGAGAGCGUGACCCCCCACACGGGUACUGAGACACGGACCCG